UCUGGCUCAGGAUGAACGCUAGCGACAGGCUUAACACAUGCAAGUCGAGGGGCAGCAUAAAAGUAGCAAUACUUGGUGGCGACCGGCGCACGGGUGAGUAACGCGUAUGCAACCUACCUAUCAGGAGGGGAAUAACCCGGCGAAAGUCGGACUAAUACCGCAUAAAACAGGGACACCGCAUGGUGAUAUUUGUUAAAGAAAUUCGCUGAUAGAUGGGCAUGCGUUCCAUUAGGUAGUUGGUGAGGUAACGGCUCACCAAGCCGACGAUGGAUAGGGGAACUGAGAGGUUGGUCCCCCACACUGGUACUGAGGCACGGACCAGACUCCUACGGGAGGCAGCAGUGAGGAAUAUUGGUCAAUGGGCGAGAGCCUGAACCAGCCAAGUCGCGUGAAGGAAAGAAGGAUCUAUGGUUCGUAAACUUCUUUUGCAGGGGAAUAAAGUGCAGGACGUGUCCUGUUUUGUAUGUACCCUGAGAAUAAGGAUCGGCUAACUCCGUGCCAGCAGCUGC
rnacentral:rRNA from 1 species